ACCAACCAAUCCCGUUCCCCCUCUUAGAGCCCCGCCCCCUUUGCUUGAACUCCCAGAGGAGGCGGAGCUUCCCCCGGUGGGCGUGGCCUCGUUGGAGCGGGCGAUACUGGAGGGGGCGGGGCGACCGGAAGGGGCGGAGCUUAAUGAGAUCCUGCCAAGCUCCGCCCACCGGAAGUUGUGGGCCAGGCUCUUCCGGGUUUGCUUAGAUCUCUGUGCUUCUGGUUGGCUGCGGCUGGAGCAGUCCCGCCCCUUUGGACCAAUCAGGAUCCAGCUUGGUUCCCGAGGCCCCGCCCACUUCUCCCCAAGCCCCGCCCACGCUUAAUAAAGGCAAAGGGGGCGUGGUUUAGAA